UGUCAACCACUCACUUACUUCUCAUUUUCAUACUGCCAGUGAGUUGUUUUACAAAACCUCUCCACUUUUCUCUACUGCAGGGUGGGUGAUGCAACAAUGGCCUUGAGAACAGCAGGAAGUGUGUUGGUGGUCUUUCUCUGGUCUGUGGCAGCAAAUACAGCAACAAGGUGUGGACAACAAAGCCAGGUGAUGGUCUCUCCCACCAACGCAGUGAAGGGACAGGUGACACUGACCUGUAGCAACACCUGUACUCUGAGUGACAACCCCAACCCCACCUACAUCUGGUACAGGAAUGGACAACGUCUAGAUGAGCACAUUUCCCAACAAUACUCAAUCCACAAUUACU